AACUUCCAGUUCUCAGGGGCAAAUGCCUGGAGUCUUCACUCUUCCCACAUCAGGUGGUCUGGCUACUUCAGGAGAAUGCUGCCCUACAAAUGCCUCAAGGCACAAAAUUUGGAAGACUUGGCUCUUUGGUUUAGAAGCAGCACUGGCUGAGGCAUGGUUCUUUGGAAACAGACAAGGGAUGAAGCAGGGCCUUGGCCCUAUUGGUGAGCCUUCACAUUUCCCCAGGGAAAGAAACAGAUUUGAAGAAUCCCCUACAGCAGAAGCAGAGGUGGAAAGGCGACCCACUUGUUGCGAUGGUGGGGACAGUUGAUUUCGUCUCCGUGAGGAUUCCUGUCGGUGGCUGAGCACUGAAGUUGUCUCAAAUCAGGAAGAAAAUCAGGCCUCUAACUGUGGAUACGGCCUGCAGCUAUGGGCUUAAAUGAAUGAAUGACUGGAGUGUAUUCUUGGGUAAGUAAUUUAAUUUCCCUGUAUCCUACUGUCUCUUCUGUAGAAUAUUGAUUCAUGGAAAACUAGUGGUUUUGGAAAACGCUCUCCAUGGAGACUGGAUUUCCAGCCCUGCUUAUGUGGUCCUAUGAACAUGAAUUGCUGGCAGCAUAAUGACUCAAAUCCCACAUCCUGCUUUUGGUGGCAUUUACCACUGACGAGAGGUUCACGUGUUCCUGUCAUGAAGGCCUGCGGAAGAGCCAUUUUCAUUGGGGUCUGAUUUGAAGUGAGCUGGCACAUUGGCAAGCCAUAAUGCUGGUGUGCUCUCCUUGAGAGAAGACCAUUUGCCCACUAAUUUGCUGAUUGGCCUGAAGAAUCAGAGGAAUUGAUGCACUCAGAGACCCCAGGGACUCCUCUGCCUGCAAGUUGGCUUUGGCAGGAAUGGUUACUGCUCCCUGGUUGCAUGAUUCAUGCUUG
rnacentral:lncRNA from 1 species